CUGGUACUCCAUCUGUCCGAAAAUAAUUGUCCUAUAAAUGAAUGUAUCUAGACUUAUUUUAGUUAUAGAUACAUCUAUUUUAUUCAUUCCUAGGACAAGUAUUUCCUGACGGAGGGAGUAUUAA
rnacentral:pre_miRNA from 1 species